rnacentral:lncRNA from 1 species
UGUAACUACCUCCAUGGCUCAAUCUGAUGACACAAACUAGUAAGUAAUUAACUACAUGAUGAUCGAUGGUGCAUUUCGAAAUCAAAGCUAGCGAUCUACAGAUCCAACAACUGAUCAAACAAACCAAAUAAAAUCCUAUCUACUAGCUAGCUUAACUGGAGAUCGAGAGGAUCUCAUCCCAAUCAAUCAAUGUAUGUAACCAGCUCGAUCGAUCACUGGAGAUGCUAACCAGACCGGAGUGGUCAGUCCGUCGGCGGCCCCGGCGCGCCCAUGAUGACGGCGUCGGACCAGCGCGCGGGCGAGCGGUCGCUGCUGUUGGACGAGGACAUGGCCUCGGCGCGCGCCUCCCGCACCAUCCGGAGCACCUCGGCCGUGGCCGGCCGCGCGCCCGUGUCCGCGGCCACGCACGCCGCCGCCACGCCCACCAACGCGCCCAGCUUCUCCUCGGCGGGGCCGGCGGCGCCGGACGCGGCCGACUCACCGCCCGACUCCGUGGACAUCUCCUCCUCGCGCGCGGCGCGCACCCAGGCGGCCACCUCGUCGGCACCGCCGCCGCCGCGCUGGUCCAGGAGGUCCGGGAACGGCGCGCGGCCCGUGAGCAGCUCCAGCAGCAGCACGCCGAAGCUGUACACGUCCGAAGCCGCCGUGAAGCACACGUGGGCCAUGGACGAGGAGCGGGUCUCCGGGGCGCGGUAGAGGAGGGAGGCGGAGGAUGCGUCGGCGCCGGCGGCGUGGAGGGCGGGGACGAGGCCGUAGUCGGUGAGGCAGGACUCGAAGUCGGGGCCGAGGAGGACGUUGGAGGGCUUGAGGUUGCCGUGCACGAUGGCUGAGGAGUGGAGGUGGAGCAGGCCGGCGGCGAUGUCCUCGGCGAUCUUCAUGCAGGAGGUCCAGUGCAGCGGCUUGCCCUUGCUCGACGGCCGAGACCCUGCAUUGCACCCAUGCAUGCAUUUCCAACCAUUAUACCACAUUUAAAUCACAAAGCAUGCAUGCUUACUUUUUUUUUAUCAGUUCAGUACUAGAAUAUUUUUAACUUUAUGUAAACAUUAUUUGUACUAAAGUCAGUGUAUAUCUGUCUGAAUUUGUGUGUGACUGUUGCUCAUUACAUGCUGUGGUGGCAACGAUUACUACCAUUUGCAGAUCAAAAAGGACCACUCUGGGUGCAACAAUUACUACUAUAGCGGUGAUUAACAAGGACCACUGUCACUCUGUAUGCAACAAUUACUAUAGUGGUGAUUAACACAAGGACCACUGUCACUCUGUGUGCAACAAUUACUACUAUAGUCGUGAUUAACAAGGACCACUGUGACUCUGUAAGUGAUGGAUAAAUCUGUGGAGAGUAGGUACAUGUGGCAUUGUAUCUUUGCGCUUGUCCCUAGCUAGCUUGCGAAGGCAGACAUGGAUAUGGAUGCGCACUGAGGAAAUGAAUUAUCCACUGUCUCGGGGUCAGGAUAUGUUGGCAUUUGACUGCCUGCAUUAUUUGAGUCUGUAAAUUGCUAGCUAGCAUUACCAAAACAGUACUAGUACCAUAUAUAUUAUGAAAGAACGAAAACACACACACACACACACACACUAGAAUUUGAUUAUGGCCAUUGCUAUGCUAGCUAGCAUUAACAAAAUCAGUAGUGCUAGCAUGUGAAAGAAAGAAAGAAAAAUCAUCACUAGGGGAGUAUGUCUGAAGAAUUUGUUUCUUCAACAGGCACUCUCAAGGACAAGAACAAAAACGCUCCCUUUUUUCUUGCAAUAAGAAAUCCCUACAAAAUCCUGGUGACUCACAUGCAUGCACUGAAGCUUCCUUGUUUUUCUUUUUAUAAUACUAUGAAAGAAAAGAAAUGAGUUUUUGGUUCAAUGAGAGCCAGGAUUCUCUCUCUGUCAGUCGGCCAUUCUUGCAUGAUUUACUGCAUGCUGCUCCAAUGGUCAUAGUAGGUAUAGUAGUGGUAGUAACACUUUCACUUGACGAAUCAAUGAAAGAGUUGAAUGGCUUGAACAUGUGUAUAUAUGCGCUUGUCCCUUACUUGUGAAACAAGGUGUACGUGGUGAAGACACAAAUUGUGCAGGCACGGAGAUCCUAUAUUAUCUACUGUCUUGGAUUCAGAAGAUGUUGGCAUUUGACUGCCUGGCUUCUUUAGCCAAUUCUCCCGGCCGGGAAGAAGAAGAUUUGGACUCUCGGUGUCCCGCGUGAGUGCGUGGACAAGGACAAUUCAUUAUUUCAGAUUUGGCCAUUGAUAGCUAGCAUUACCAAAUCAGCACUACUAUUGGCAUCUGAGUGAAAGAAAAGAAGAAGAAAAAAAUCACUAUGCCUGAAGAAUUUGUUUCUUCAACAGGCAGGCGUGCUUGCCGAUCAUGUGAGCAGAACACCAGGAUGGAUGGGUAUACAACUGUGGGGUUGAGUGCAUGCAUGCACAUGCAUGGGUUUCUAUUGUAUACUCCAUCCGUCCCAAAAUAUAAAUCUUUGGAGAGAGGAGGAAAAUGAGUGAAUCUACACUCUAAAAUGCAUCCACAUACGGUUCAUAGUGAAAUCUUUACAAAGACUUGUAUUUAGAAACGGAGAGAGUAUUCCGUCCCAAAAUAAGUGUCUCAAACUUAGUACUGCUUGGUACAAAAGUUAGUAAAAAAUUGAGAGGACAAGAAAAAAAGGCUGACUAGAUAGCGGGGACAUGGUGCAACCUCCCCACAUGCUCGUGUACCGAACCUUCUUCUUAGACCUUAGUAUUUUGUUUAUCUAUAUGAAGAGAAAAAGAAGUUUCUUUAUUCAGUGAGAUCUGGUAGUACUAGUCGUACUUAUUUUUUGUGUUCAUCUAGUAGUAUUAUUAUUAUUGAUCUCGUCCAGGUCCAGUGAUCUUGUGGCUGGCUAGAUUUACGGCGCGUCCUCCUUCCUGGGGGCGUGUUCAUGUCAGUUGGGACUCACUUAUUCGCAUGGAUCAAUGAAGAAAAAAAGGACACACUGGUUGGCCUAGGGUCUUGCUCCAGGCCACAUGCCUGGCCUGUUACACAUGGUUGAGCAGUUCUUGGGAGAGCAGAGCACUGAAGAUGUAGACAAUUUCUUCAGUUCAUUGAUCCACAUCUUGGCAAGCAAUGGUUGCAUGCAUCGCCCAAAUGCAGAGGCUGGUGGUACAUCCUCCUUUUUUCUAGAAAAAAAAAACAUCUCGGCAAGCUGGGACAAGAGCAUGUAUAUUGGAUUCAAUUUAGGGCACGACGGCUACUCAAUCGACUGGCCUGGCCUGCUGGCUGCGUUAAAUAAUCAAUGUGGGUGCCUAAUUUGUACAGGCCGCGUCAGUGUCACUCAUGCAUCGCAUGGACCCUAACCUCAGUUGAGUGUGUCAUAGGCGAGGACAACAUAGUAUUAUUGUCUCAAGUUGAUCAUUGCUGCUUCGAUCACCAAAUCGGCAGAGCAGCUUGUAUAUGAAUGAAUAAAAGGAAUGCCUGAAUAACUUAGCUAGUAGGGGCACCUCAUCAUCUUCUUCUUCUUCUUUCCCCAUCUUACCCAGGUAGUUUCGAGUUUCAGAGCAAAAUGCACUAGGGCACAAUGCAAUGCAACGAGAUUAACCAGAUCCUUUCCUUGUGUUAGAGCUUCUUUUGUAGUGGUGUCUAAUAAUCUACCGUGGUGAGGGUGUCCACAGAUCUGGCGUCAACAUGAGCCUGGUGUGAUGUGGAAUCUAGCAUGUUGGUUACUCUCGCAUGAAUUACCACUGCUCCUCCUCCUCUAGUGGUGGUGCUAGGUACUACUCCUCCUUGACUUCAUGUCAGGUGAGACUUGCACCAUGAAAUGAAUCCAUGUCACGUGGCUUGGCACCACUCCUAGUACACACGUCCAGCCAUUAUUGUUUAUUCAUUUAUAUGAAUAAAUUGUAAGAGCUGGCUUUUCUAUGUACACUUAUGGUGAGGCAGAGGCACGAGGCUUGCGCAUGCCAAUGUUGUCUUCUACUCUACUCUAGCUACCACCAACAAACAAAGCCAUGGAAUGCAAGGGAAUGCAUGGCAAUGCAAGAGUCCAACAGACUCCAGAGAGUGCGGCGGCCUUGAGUUACUACAAGUGCACGCCAGAUCCAUGCAUGCCUCAGCUACCCAACAAGAAAACAGAGACAUGGUUGGAUGUGCAACUGCUUGCUUUCCCCCGUGAUUUGCCCACUCAAUGCCGUGAGUGAGUGACAGCAAGAAAAAACGUCCCUUUUCUCUUCCCAUUUGGUUCGUUGGUUCGGGCACGGGCAGCAGGGCAGUGUUCAUCACUUCACAUGAAUCAAUCAAUCAAUGCUAGCUAGUACAAACUGUUGGUUUAACUUGCUUAGUCGGUGCAGAUAAGUUAACAGUUCAUCCUAACCAUGGAUCCAUGCAUGGCAACGAGCAAGGAACUGAGCUGAAAAAUGGUUCAAAUGCAGCGCAGCACCAGCAGAUUCUUUCUUUCUUUCAGAGAGAACGGAGCAUGGCAAUGGCGAGAAUGGGGGGACGAGGAGGAACAAGACGACUGACCGUGGACGAGGGAGAAGAGGCUGCCGUUGGGGUAGUAGUCGUACACCAGCAGCCGCUCCUCCUUGGCCUGGAAGUAUGCCCGCAGCGCCACCACGUUGGGGUGCCGCACCCGUCCGAGCUCCUCGGCCCGCCGCCCGAACUCCAGAGCCCCGCCGCCCACCCCGCCGGCGCCCCCCGCGUCGCCGCACCGCAUCCGCUUCACCGUCACGAUGAACCCCGUCUCCAUCACCGCCUUGUACGUGCUCCCGGCCUCCCCGCGCCCCAGCGUCUCCGCCGACGCCCGCAGCAGCUCCUCCAGGCUGUACGCCUCCGCCGCGCCCCCGCAGAACACCAGCUUCCCGAUCCCCUCCCGCUCCCACGAGAACUCGCGACCGCCCGCCGCCGCCGAGUUCGUCGCCGGCGGCAGUGCUGCGUUGCCCGAGCGCUGCUGCUGCUGCUGCUGGUGCUGCGCGUCCUCCUCGGCCUGCUCCUCCGGCGUGCCGAGGCCGCCCUUGUCCACGUCGCCGGCCACCCGCUUGUUCCUGCCGCGCCCGCGCCGCGAUGCCAUGACGGCCGCCGCGACCAGGAGAGCAAGCACCACCGCCCCCGCCACCGUCGACCCGGCGAUUAUCGCGGCCUUCCUGCGGCGGCCGCUGCUGCCGCCGGACCCGCCGGGGGGAGGGAGCGGCGCGAACGCGGCCGUGGCGGGGGAGAGCGGCAUCGGCCCGGGAGCCGCCGCCGCCACGACGCAGGGCACGGCGAGCGGCGCCCCGCAGAGCCCGGCAUUGCCCGCGAACGCCGACGCGUUGAACCGCCUCGCGAGGACGCCGGGGAUCUGCCCGGACAGCCGGUUGCCGGAGACGUCGAGCGCCCGGAGCGUGCUCUGCGGCAGCGCGGGCACCGGCCCCGUCAGCAGGUUCCCGUCCAGCAGCAGCGAUGUCAGCCUCGGCACGCCCGCGAGCUCCCGCGGGAUCCGGCCGGAGAGGCGGUUGCCGGAGAGCACGAGGACCGUGGCGCGGUGGAGCAGCGCGAGGCUGGCGGGGAGCGGGCCGGAGAGCGCGUUGGACGCGAGGUAGAGCAGCUUGAGGUUGGGAAGGGCCGCGGCGAGCCCGUCGGGCACGGGGCCGGAGAGCGCGUUGGCCUUGAGGCUGAGCACGCGGAGUUGGGAGAGCGGGGCGAGGAGGGCGGCGGUGAGGGGGCCCGUGAGGUUGAGGUUCUCGAGGACCAGCUUGGUGACGCGGCCGGCGGGGUCGCACUGGCGCACGCCCGGCCAGGCGGUGCAGAGGGUGC